UGGGGAAUCUUCCGCAAUGGACGAAAGUCUGACGGAGCAACGCCGCGUGAGUGAAGACGGCCUUCGGGUUGUAAAGCUCUGUGAUCCGGGACGAAAGAGCCUGAGGUGAAUAGCCUAAGGAAGUGACGGUACCGGAAAAGCAAGCCACGGCUAACUACGUGCCAGCAGCCGCGGUAAUACGUAGGUGGCAAGCGUUGUCCGGAAUUAUUGGGCGUAAAGCGCGCGCAGGCGGCUUCCUAAGUCCAUCUUAAAAGUGCGGGGCUUAACCCCGUGAUGGGAUGGAAACUGGGAAGCUGGAGUAUCUGAGAGGAAAGUGGAAUUCCUAGUGUAGCGGUGAAAUGCGUAGAGAUUAGGAAGAACACCGGUGGCGAAGGCGACUUUCUGGACGAAAACUGACGCUGAGGCGCGAAAGCGUGGGGAGCAAACAGG
rnacentral:rRNA from 1 species